ACGAACGCUGGCGGCAGGCUUAACACAUGCAAGUCGAACGCCCCGCAAGGGGAGUGGCAGACGGGUGAGUAACGCGUGGGAACAUACCCUUUUCUACGGAAUAGCUCUGGGAAACUGGAAUUAAUACCGUAUACGCCCUACGGGGGAAAGAUUUAUCGGGGAAGGAUUGGCCCGCGUUGGAUUAGCUAGUUGGUGGGGUAAAGGCCUACCAAGGCGACGAUCCAUAGCUGGUCUGAGAGGAUGAUCAGUCACAUUGGGACUGAGACACGGCCCAAACUCCUACGGGAGGCAGCAGUGGGGAAUAUUGGACAAUGGGCGCAAGCCUGAUCCAGCCAUGCCGCGUGAGUGAUGAAGGCCUUAGGGUUGUAAAGCUCUUUCACCGAUGAAGAUAAUGACGGUAGUCGGAGAAGAAGCCCCGGCUAACUUCGUG
rnacentral:rRNA from 1 species